rnacentral:rRNA from 2 species
ACGAAGCGCGAGUGACGGUAUGUGCAGAAGAAGGACCGGCCAACUACGUGCCAGCAGCCGCGGUAAUACGUAGGGUCCGAGCGUUGUCCGGAAUUACUGGGCGUAAAGAGCUCGUAGGUGGUUUGUCGCGUUGUUCGUGAAAACUCACAGCUUAACUGUGGGCGUGCGGGCGAUACGGGCAGACUUGAGUACUGCAGGGGAGACUGGAAUUCCUGGUGUAGCGGUGGAAUGCGCAGAUAUCAGGAGGAACACCGGUGGCGAAGGCGGGUCUCUGGGCAGUAACUGACGCUGAGGAGCGAAAGCGUGGGGAGCGAACAGGAUUAGAUACCCUGGUAGUCCACGCCGUAAACGGUGGGUACUAGGUGUGGGUUUCCUUCCUUGGGAUCCGUGCCGUAGCUAACGCAUUAAGUACCCCGCCUGGGGAGUACGGCCGCAAGGCUAAAACUCAAAGAAAUUGACGGGGGCCCGCACAAGCGGCGGAGCAUGUGGAUUAAUUCGAUGCAACGCGAAGAACCUUACCUGGGUUU